rnacentral:rRNA from 1 species
AGAGUUUGAUCAUGGCUCAGAUUGAACGCUGGCGGCAUGCUUUACACAUGCAAGUCGAACGGUAACGCGGGGGCAACCCUGGCGACGAGUGGCGGACGGGUGAGUAAUACAUCGGAACAUGUCCUGGAGUGGGGGAUAGCUCGGCGAAAGCCGGAUUAAUACCGCAUACGCUCUGAGGAGGAAAGCGGGGGACCUGGUAACGGGCCUCGCGCUGCAGGAGUGGCCGAUGUCGGAUUAGCUAGUUGGUGAGGUAAAGGCUCACCAAGGCGACGAUCCGUAGCUGGUCUGAGAGGAUGAUCAGCCACACUGGGACUGAGACACGGCCCAGACUCCUACGGGAGGCAGCAGUGGGGAAUUUUGGACAAUGGGGGCAACCCUGAUCCAGCCAUGCCGCGUGAGUGAAGAAGGCCUUCGGGUUGUAAAGCUCUUUCGGACGGGACGAAAUGGUUAUGGUGAAUAUCCAUGACUGAUGACGGUACCGUAAUAAGAAGCACCGGCUAACUACGUGCCAGCAGCCGCGGUAAUACGUAGGGUGCGAGCGUUAAUCGGAAUUACUGGGCGUAAAGCGUGCGCAGGCGGUUCGCCAAGUCAGGUGUGAAAUCCCCGGGCUUAACCUGGGAAUUGCGCUUGAAACUAGCGAGCUUGAGUGUGGCAGAGGGGGGUGGAAUUCCACGUGUAGCAGUGAAAUGCGUAGAGAUGUGGAGGAACACCGAUGGCGAAGGCAGCCCCCUGGGUCAACACUGACGCUCAUGCACGAAAGCGUGGGGAGCAAACAGGAUUAGAUACCCUAGUAGUCC